rnacentral:lncRNA from 1 species
GUACCUGUGACUGCUUUUGUAGCUGUAGUGGCCAUUAUAAUAGUAACAACAAUACAGCCUCCUGAGCAGAGUGGAAGCCUGAUGUGGUUUGGCUGUGACCACACCCAAAUCUCACUUUGAAUUGUAAUAAUCUCCACGUGCCAAGGGUGGGGCCAGGUGGAGAUAAUUCAAUCAUGGGGGGACGGUUUCUGCCAUACUGUUCUCAUAGCUGCCUGCAAGGUGGGGAUAGUCAGGUCUACCUGGCAGCAUCACUGCAGAGACAAAAUGAGGUAACAGUGUCUGGCAUGCAAUAGAUGCUCAAUAAACCCUCCUUUGUUUUCUGGCCCGGGGUCUUGACCAUAAGAUGGAACAGUGAGUACCCAAUGAACAGAGAAAGAAAGGAGAAUAAAUCAAUGAUGAUUUUCUAAUGGGACCAUAAAUCACAUCACAGCUCAGCUUAGAAUCCUCUCUGAGGCCUGGAACUGGAAGCUGGAAAUUUUUUUAAUUUUAUCCCUUUGUUAUUUGGCUGAUAUCUAUUUUCUCCAGUUAAACUGGAAGCUACAUCAAGCCAAGAACUGAGUUUCUGGUCAUGAUUCUCUCUCAAGCACCUGGAACGGCAUGUGGCACAUGGAAAACAUCACAAAUACAUUGAAUGAAUGAAUGAGACAAUACAAGUACUCAUCUCAGCACCCGGAGCGGUCCAUGUUCUCAGUAAACAUUAUGCAUGAUCACCACCAACUUUCUAGAGCUAGGCAUGACUGAACCUCAAGGUGGGGAUAGGAGAAGAUGCCAAGGAUGGUGCAGGCAGGGUGGAAGAAGUUGGCCAGCUGCCAGGUCUGAGGGUGAAGGAGACUAGGAGGAGGCUUAGGGAGAGGAAGGGGUGGGUCUCCAGUUGUGGGGAGUUAAUGCAAGGGAGUGACUCUGUGGUGCAGUACAAAGACCAGGUCUAAGAACAAGGACCCUGGGCCCAGCUCCAUAGAAUGAGACCAAGCACCUGCUCUCAGGCCUCAGUUUCUCCAUAUACACAGUCUCUGCAGCACCCCCAGCCCCAAAAGCCCUGAGUUUGUAAUGAACAUAGCAGCCCAAGUGCAUUUUCAGCCAGAGCACAGAACUGCAGGGAUCUGGAGUGAUCCAUGUUGGCCAAGGAGCCAGAGAGGGCAGUGUCUAUGCCUGUCAGCUUCAGGGCAUCUGUGGGGAGGGCAGGGCGAGGGCUUGGGGUAGGGGGCUGGUCAGCGCUGGAGGCAGAAUCCAUGCUCAUCUCCCGGGAAAGUGAGGGUGGUGGCACCAGACUGGAUUUGUAGAUCUCAUGGUCUCCAGUCUGGUCAACUCCACUGUCACCAUCUCCCUCCACAGGGUUGAGGCAGGGAGCAUCCCAGGGCCACGGAUGCACACACACCCCCACUCCCUUUGCCUCUCCCUUUGGGGGGCAGCCUUGACCCCAUCUCUGACUCUGGUUUCCUGACUUCCUUAGCCAUGUCCGUGAUUGAGCUGAGCCAUGUCAGACACCAGGUCAAUAACCACGGAUGAGUUCAUAGGAAGAUACGUUACUUAAUAUGAGCCAGUCAGAGCAAAGCCCAGGACUUCUCCAUUCUGGUUGGGAGACACGACGCGUUCUGCUAAAUGGGAAGGAGGAAAUACAUCACCCAAGUUGAUGCUGCAACCACAAGAGAAGACAGACUGAAGAUGAAGUUGAUACUCUGGGAGGGAGAGCAGAUCACUGAAAAAAUGCUGAGUCCUUGGUCACACAAUCGGGUUUCUAGAUCAGUCC